AUUCAUCUAGUCAAAAUCAACGAUUGAUAUCCAUAUUAAUUCUCGGUCAAAUUAAUACAAAAAAAGCUGGAAAAUACAAUUAAAACACGCUGAGGCACAUUCACUGAAUAACCGCAUAACUAUGCGGUAAUUUCGGGAUUUACUACCCCAACAACCCACACGUCUGAAACCCUAGGAAUAGGAAACAAACGACUCGCUCCAAUCAACAGCGCAGCGGAAAUUUUCACAGAAGUUGAACGGUGGAUUGAUUGCUGUUUAUCCCGGCGACGAAACAAUAGAAGAAGGUGAGUUUUUAUAUUUUGUUUGGUGAAUAACUAGUUAGGUGUUUGAAAUCUACACCCACGUCUCUAACCCUAGCCGCGUUGACCCCUCCUCCCCCCUCGCCCAACCUACAGAACAGCGGCCAUUCCACCCCAUAAGCUUCGACGACGGAUUGAUUCCUGUGAUUUACGGCGACGAUCCGUUAAAAGAGGGUGAGUUUUUACUCUAUUGUGUUGCUUGUUUAUUUUAUAUUUUGGAUAAUGAAAAUGGUGUAAGCAACCUGAAAAGUCAUCUUUUUGGAAACGACGACUCAUUUUUGUAGAAUAAUGGAAGAUUUGUCGAUAAAAAUUGAGUUUUUCUGGUGGUGUAUUGAAUAAUGGAGGAGACAUUAGAUUCAAUUUUCGUCUCUGGUAUAGCAGAAGCUCUCUACUGAUCUAGGGACCCAGGGGUAUUGAA
rnacentral:lncRNA from 1 species